rnacentral:tRNA from 1 species
GCAUCUAUAGCCCAAUUGGUAGAGGCACUGGAUUUAGGUUCCAGUCAGUGAUGAGUUCGAAUCUCUCUAGAUGUACCA